UGAGGAAUAUUGGACAAUGGGUGGAAGCCUGAUCCAGCCAUCCCGCGUGAAGGAUGACGGUCCUAUGGAUUGUAAACUUCUUUUGUACAGGGAUAAACCUGCCCUCGUGAGGGCAGCUGAAGGUACUGUACGAAUAAGCACCGGCUAACUCCGUGCCAGCAGCCGCGGUAAUACGGAGGGUGCGAGCGUUAUCCGGAUUUAUUGGGUUUAAAGGGUCCGUAGGCGGGCCUGUAAGUCAGUGGUGAAAUCUCAUAGCUUAACUAUGGAACUGCCAUUGAUACUGCAGGCCUUGAGUAAAUUUGAAGUGGCUGGAAUAAGUAGUGUAGCGGUGAAAUGCAUAGAUAUUACUUAGAACACCGAUUGCGAAGGCAGGUCACUAAGAUUUAACUGACGCUGAUGGACGAAAGCGUGGGGAGCGAACA
rnacentral:rRNA from 1 species